rnacentral:rRNA from 1 species
ACCAAGAACUAGUCCGAGGACACAGACGAUUUCCCCAACCUCCUAGCAUUAAAAAUAAAACAUUUUACAAGAUAAGUAAAGGAGAUUAAAAAUUAACCAGGCACCAUAGUUAUUGUACCGCAAGGGAAAGUUGAAAAAAAUUUAAACAUAAGUAAAAAAAAGCAGAGAUAAAACCUCGUACCUUUCGCAUCAUGGUUUAGCAAGUACCCCUGACAAGAAGAACCAUAGUCAGAAAACCCGAAACCAAGCGAGCUACUUUUGAGCAGCCAAAUGGGCCAAUCCCCCUCUGUAGCAAAAGAGCGGAAAGACUUAAAAGUAGAGGUGAAACGCCAACCGAGCUUGGCAAUAGCUGGUUGUUCAAAAUAGAAUUUUAGUUCUACUUUAGUAUACAAAUAUUCACACAUUAAAGUCAAAGUACUAAAGACAGUCUUUAGGGGAACAGCUCUAAAGACCACCGGGAUUCAACCCUAAGCUGAGAGUAACACACCUAUACUUCCAGUGGGCCUUAAAGCAGCCACCAAAAAAAAUAGCGUCUAAGCAUUCCUUUUAAAAAUACCACAAGCACCAAACACCUCUAGCAAAAAUAAGAACAACUCUAUUCUAAUAGAGACUCCUAUGCUAAAACUAUUAAUAUGAAAAUCUUCUAUUCGCGUAUCCAUCCCUCGGCACCCGCCGACAAUUAACAGACCAAAAAGGGCAAGGAAAAACCCAAUUUAUACAUUCCACCAAUUCUGUGAGCCCGACUCAGGUGCGCAAAAAUUAAUUAAAAGUUACAAAAGGAACUCGGCAAACAAAGAUUCCAACUGUUUACCAAAAACAUAGCCUUUAGCUUAACAAGUAUUAAAGGUAAUGCCUGCCCAGUGAAACUUUUUAACGGCCGCGGUACCCUAACCGUGCAAAGGUAGCGUAAUCAUUUGUCCACUAAUUAUGGACCAGUAUGAAAGGCCACAUGAGAAUCUAACUGUCUCUUGUAAUCGAUUUAUAAAACUGAUCUCCCAGUUCAAAAGCUGGGAUAGAACCAUAAGACGAGAAGACCCUGUGAAGCUUUAAAAAUCCCAUUAGGCCAAUUAACGGGUAUUUUUAGUUGGGGCAACUUUGGAAAACAACUUAACCUCCAAAACAAACACUUCACAAAGACCUACAAGUCAACCACGAUCCAGUAAAACUGAGAAACGAACUAAGUUACUCCAGGGAUAACAGCGCAAUCUUCUUCAAGAGCCCAUAUCAAAAAGAAGGUUUACGACCUCGAUGUUGGAUCAGGACACCCAAAUGGCGCAGCCGCUAUUAAAGGUUCGUUUGUUCAACGAUUAAUAGUCCUACGUGAUCUGAGUUCAGACCGGAGAAAUCCAGGUCGGUUUCUAUCUAUAAACGGACCCCCCUAGUACGAAAGGAUCGGAGGGCCAGAGCCCCUGUUUUAAACAUGCCCUAUAAGAAGACCGAAGAAGAGGUCCUUAACAAGUAAGCCCGAAACCCAAAAUAAGGGUU